UGUAUCUAUGGUCUGAACGUCUGUUAGCAUCUCUGGCUGUUGUUGACCUUAUUUUUGGAGUAAAACACGGUGGAAGCUGAAUUAGUGAGGAUGACUCCUGCUCCUGUCAUCUCUAAGCUCCUCACACAUCUUUACCUGCAUAUGAGGAAAAUCACUCCUGUAGAAUGCAGAUGUUCAGAGGGAGAUGAUGCCACAUCUGGUCCAGCUGAUGGAAGGUCUUGAAGUUCUCUGACUGGCCUCGACUGAAGAUGGUCGUCUCACUGGAUUUAAGAUGCACAAUGAGGGACGUCUGCAGAGACUGAGAAAGAGUCUCACCACAUCCUGACAUGAGGAAAAAGACUUUAUUGAAGACUACAAUGAGAAAAACUAUCAGACAGCAGACGGCUGCAUUCAAGGUGAGAUCUGAACAUUUGAUCUGGAACAGGAAUUCAAUAACGGCAGCAUGAGCUUCAUUUCAGUCUGUAGCUGCUGAAUUCAUGGAUGGAUCAUCUGGCACUAGAGAGGAAGACCAUCAAACAUCCACGUCAGCUGAUGGAGGUCCAAGAGUCUCACCCAACAAACAACCUACAGAGUGAAGACCUCCAAUCUGAUUGGACGGCCUCCUAUUCAGCCACAUGUGUGAACAAAUGCCUCUAAGCUGAUUUGUUUUCUAAAAUGAAUCUAGUUUGAGUCCUAAUCUCUGCCUGUGUGUUUGCUUCUUUACACUGCUGUUAACAGUUUAGGCUGUUAGAUUGUUCCAGAUAAGACAAGUACAAGAUUCUUCAGAGCCGUUCUACCACGAGCCUGACAGGAAGAACUCCAACAGCUACUGAAUGUUCCUGUGGUUCCCUCAAGGCUACAGGAGGAGCCCUACGAGGACGAGCUGGUCCACCUGAUGGAGGCCAGUCGCUGCGGUUCAAAGCCAACACCGACUACGUGGACUUCUACUGGACCACAUGGAGGCCUUCAAACCGGACCAACAAGUUCAGCGACUCCCCGACUCGUGGGUCUGAGGACGCCGCCGAGCCUCGGUCCAGCCGGCCUCCUGUCUGUGGGUGUUUGAGUGCUGAGAGGUUUGUGGAUGCAUGUGAACGUUCUGUGUUGAAACAGCAGCUUUGGACUCAGUAACACCGGGAAAAACCAAGAGCUCCUUUAUUUGUGACUUCCACUAAAAAAACUGAUGAAAAUAAGUUUACCAGGGUUCUGACUGAUAACAGAUUAUUAAAUAAUGAAAAUAAUCCUUUAAAUAUUCCUUUAAACAAUCCUUUUAGGUCUACAUUUCCUUUACGCUGACUUCUUGGUAAAUGUACAAGUAUUUUGGGUGGAAUAUACCAUUAAGCCCAAUGUUCAAGGGUUCUUCUGGGAAUAUACCAUUAAACCAACCUUUUAGGUAAAUGUUCCAGGAUGUUGGGUAGAAUAUACCAUCAGAUCAACCUUUUAGGUCUACAUUGGAAGAUUUUAGAGUAGAAUAUUACUCCAAACCAUCCUUUAGGUCUACAUUUAAGGUGGAAUACUCCUUUACACCAAGAUUUUUUGGUCUACAUUGAAGGAUUUUAGGUGGAAUAUUCCUUUGAACAAACUUUUUAAGUUUAUGUUCCAGGAUGUUGGGUGGAAUUUACCAUCAGACCAACCUCCAAGGUCUACAGUAGUGAAUUUUAGGUGG
ensembl:lncRNA